GCGGCUAGGUGAACCUUAGAUAUUAUAGAACCUUAAUUUUUGUUAAUUUUGCACAAUGUAGUAUGGCUAGACAACGAGGUUUGUGUUCACGGUCCCGAGAAACGUGACGGGAGCAUGAACCCGUUGAGGAGGAUGUCGACCUGUCCACUUCUCUUGGUCCCUUCCCCGACCUGUCCACUUCUCUUGGUCCCUUGCCCGAACUGUCCACUUCUCUUGGUCCCUUCCCCGAAUAGGAUGAGCGGACAUUGUACUUUGCCCCAGACCACCACAUUUCUGAGAGGGUGCGUCGCGGGAUUACUAUUGGUAGGAUGCGCUGCCACGGCUCAGGUAACGACACCCUGGGCAAGCUGUACAUCACGUACUUCAGCGUCGAUGAGGGUUUGCGACUUCUCUGGGAGUCUUGUGGGCUGACUACCCUGUUUUUGGGCCACGCAGGCUAUUUACUCUUUUGACGGGAGUCACCGCGUGGUUCGUGCUCUGGUGGAGUUCUUUUGGGACACCACCAACACUUUUCACUUCCCUUGGGGUGAGAUGAUGGUUAACCCAUCCGAGUUCAGUCUCAUCUCGGGACUGGAGUUUAGUUCGACUGCACUACCAUUCGACAGCUCAUCAGCGUCAACCCUCCAGAGGUUGAUGAGCUAUUGGGUCUGAUUGCUGUUCAAGCCCGUGCUGAGAUGGAGCCAUCACGAUUCAGCUCCAAGUGCAUUCUCCGGUCUACUAUGUCGAUAGCUUUUAAGGACAAUGCGACCACCCGAGAGCAGCGGGUGCGCAUCUUUGCGCUUAUUUUGCUGUUAAAGACGUUUUCCCCUGACAAGGGUAGUAGGCUGCUACUUUACUACCUUCUUGUUGUCCGCGAUCUUCAGCUGAUCGGGACUUAUGACUGGGCCAGCUUGGCCUACGCUGACUUUCUGCGCGCAUUGCAAGACUCCUGUCGACACUGGUUCCACACGGGAGACAUCGCUCUUUUCGGCUUCUAGAGAGUCGUACAGGUAUACUUCGUCUUUUACAAAGUUAGCUCUAAGCUCUUGUUAGCACUUGCAAAUAUAUUUUUAUCUUUUGUAGAUUUGGUUCUACGAGUACCUUCCUUCACUCGCUCCGGCGUGGUCGUCACCACGCGAGAAUUUGUUGGUGCCUGUUGGGGAGGCCGCUACAACAACCGGGCGACUACCGCCCAUGUUCGAGAGCUGAUCCUUUCGGAGCCUGAGGUGUUAUACCGGCCACGGGGCAGUUUGGUUGUUCAUGUGCUGACUGCGCAGUGCACUGCUGAGCGUCGCUACUUCCUAUGGACAUAUGGGGCGGCGCCAUACCAAGGAGAGAGAGUUGCUAUUCAGCACUCGGAGAUUCCUGUUGUCCCUGCUCUUCCGCCACGUGAGGCUACUUAGCAUGUCGAAGAGGUCGCCUGCUGGAACCCCUUGGUGAUCUCAUGCGAUCCUAGGGCGGUGCUAUACGGAGGAGUUGCUACCAUUGUUAGCUCCGGCCCCUGUUCUGUCAGCGGAGGCGGCGACCGAGCCUACUGAGUUUGUGCCCCCUCGUACCUCCAUCCACUAUCAGGGGACAUACGGGCCUAUCGAGGAGAUGAUUCCUUCGGCUCCUGAGGGUCAGCGCUUUGUUGAGCGUUUUAUUCCUCGUCACCAAACUCAGUUCUCGCACGAGGUGGUUACGACGAUGUCGAGGUGCAUAGAAGCCUUUCGGAGCCAGCUCGUGCGGAUGAGGAACGUGGCUUCCCGUCAUCGCGACGAAGUUGUUUAGGAGGGACAACCUAUUCCUUCCUGUACUCCGACGAGACCUAAGGUUCGGAGAGAGCCGACUAGGUCUAGCUCGAGGCGUCGCCACACUAAUUCUAGUGGUCUGGGUGGCCGAUCUAACAAUGCCCGGACCGAGGCGGUGGAGGGCUCGGACUCUUUAUCUGAGAGUGCGCAUGCUGGGCCGACAGGCCAAAGAGAAGCGACUUCGGCUCUGAGAGGUGGUGGGACAUACGAGGUCGACUCAUCGUCACAGCAGCCUCCACAGCCUCAGCCUCUGCUGAUUCAUCACCAAGACGACCUUGGGUGGACGGGUCCUGAGUUGAGUUUCCCUCCUCCUGGAGAGACUGGUGCUGGUGGGGAGCAUACUCCUCGUUCUGCGCAGUUCUUUGAUAUGGUGAACAUUCUUCAUCAUCUGUGUCCUCUAGCACCGUAGUUGUACCUGUGUUGUUUAUUUAUUUUGACUUUUAUAGGACUUUGCCAGAUUGACUCAUUUGUUAGAAAUAUUUGUAUAUAUAGACUAUUAUUUGUUAUGACUGUA